rnacentral:misc_RNA from 1 species
UACGGAGGGUGCAAGCGUUAAUCGGAAUUACUGGGCGUAAAGCGCGCGUAGGUGGCUUGAUAAGCCGGUUGUGAAAGCCCCGGGCUCAACCUGGGAACGGCAUCCGAAACUGUCAAGCUAGAGUACUGUAGAGGAUGGUAGAAUUUCCGGUGUAGCGGUGAAAUGCGUAGAUAUAGGGAGGAAUACCAGUGGCGAAGGCGGCCUUCUGGACUGAUACUGACACUGAGGUGCGAAAGCGUGGGUAGCAAGCAGG